AUACGUAGGGGGCGAGCGUUAUCCGGAAUCACUGGGCGUAAAGGGUGCGUAGGCGGCCAAAUAAGCCAGGGGUGAAAGGCUACAGCUCAACCGUAGUAAGCCUUGGGAACUGUAGGACUUGAGUGCAGGAGAGGAGAGUGGAAUUCCUAGUGUAGCGGUGAAAUGCGGAGAUAUUAGGAGGAACACCAGUGGCGAAGGCGACUCUCUGGACUGUUACUGACGCUGAGGCACGAAAGCGUGGGGAGCGAACAGGAUUAGAUACCCUGGUAGUCCACGCCGUAAACGAUGAGUACUAGGUGUCGGGGUCGCGAGGCUUCGGUGCCGUAGCUAACGCAUUAAGUACUCCGCCUGGGGAGUACGCACGCAAGUGUGAA
rnacentral:rRNA from 1 species